CCGAGUGAGGGCCUCCGGGCUCGACCUCCAACCCAAUGUUGACCAACACCCGUUGCCUCGGGGGUGACCCGGACGCCGACGCGUCGGCGUCGGGCCCCCGACGGACCCUUCAAACUCUGUGUCUGUACGUCGGAGUAUAAAGUAAAUCAAUUA
rnacentral:misc_RNA from 1 species